rnacentral:rRNA from 1 species
ACGCACGCUGGCGGCGUGCUUAACCCAUGCCAGUCGAACGGAAAGGCCCUGCUUUUGUGGGGUGCUCGCGUGGCGAACGGGUGAGUAACACGUGAGUAACCUGCCCUUGACUUUGGGAUAACUUCAGGAAACUGGGGCUAAUACCGGAUAGGAGCUCCUGCUGCAUGGUGGGGGUUGGAAAGUUUCGGCGGUUGGGGAUGGACUCGCGGCUUAUCAGCUUGUUGGUGGGGUAGUGGCUUACCAAGGCUUUGACGGGUAGCCGGCCUGAGAGGGUGACCGGCCACAUUGGGACUGAGAUACGGCCCAGACUCCUACGGGAGGCAGCAGUGGGGAAUAUUGCACAAUGGGCGGAAGCCUGAUGCAGCAACGCCGCGUGCGGAAUGACGGCCUUCGGGUUGUAAACCGCUUUCGCCUGUGACGAAGCGUGAGUGACGGUAAUGGGUAAAGAAGCACCGGCUAACUACGUG